rnacentral:lncRNA from 1 species
GCCCCGCCUCUCCCCGCCUUCUGGAGCCGCUGGUAUAGCUCCUUCCAGGGCUCCUUGGAGACGGAGGGCGGGGCUAGGGCGCCGGAGUCACGUGGUCGCGCCACCGCGCGAUUACUAGCUGUCAAAAGAGUCCUCAGAAGUGUCCUGAGCGGUCGCAGGGUAAUGACGUCGGCCGUAUCGGGGAUGCUGGAACCUGCGGUUGAGUGAGAAACCGGCGCCACCGCCUGCGUCUUGGUCUCGGGCUGGUGGCCAGCGGGGUCUGGGCGUGGUUUUACCCAGCUCCUUUGCGAAGCUGCUGUCCUUUCCUCAACGUUACCACCCGGCUGGGCAGCCUACCCUCGCAGCAACAGGUGUGCACCUUCCAAGCUUGCAACAGACCACAUUCAGAAGCUUGAUUUCUUGUUGUUCUGGGAAUAUCUGGAUCAGAGAUUUCUCCAAGCCACUCUCCCCGUCAUCUCCUCCACCCCCAGGACCCAACUCCUGCCCCUCCCACCCUAGCCCCUGUUCUCCCUGCCCACCUCCUACCCCACUGGAGUGGCCUUUCAUCAAACCUAAACCAAAGAAACCAACAGACCUUGCUGUCACCACUACUCCGGGACCUGGAAGUUAAAGCGAGGGAGAGACGGUGAAACACAGAAAGCAGAACGCCUUCUGUUCUUCCACAACACAGGGUUUGUGGACGUGGCCACUAUAAGAACUCGCACUGCGUGCUGAUUAUACUCCUCAGCACAAUUCAUUUCUUAAACUUUUUAGAAUAAUUUAAAAUUUACAAAAAGUUGCAAAAAUAAAAACCAGUAAACUUUUCA